rnacentral:lncRNA from 1 species
AAAAAAUUGGAGAGGGAGGUCUUUUUAUAUUUGCCCUUAAAUAUAUUAUAGAAGAACGCUAUAUAUAAGUGGAUAAUUGCACAUGCGCUAAUGAACAUGCAUAAGGGUCCACACAAAUCGUUGUAAUAAGGCUAUAAGCCCAUUUUUUCCUUCAGUAUUCCGAGCAUCCCUUAACAUGUUGCAAUAUUAACGAUAAAACAAUUUUAUAUCGCAAAAAUUCCAAUAUAAAAUAUAAAAAUAACUAAAUCUCUGAAGAUGCUCGGUCAGGCGGUA